UCUCUCUUCUUAGGAUUAAUUUGAUCACUCUCUCUCAUCUCUAUCUCUCGUUUGCAUUUUAUACGUUCAAAGCAGGCCAUUGGAAACUAGUUGUCUUCUUGACCUUCCAUACGAUUCAAAACUCCCUCUCAAUUUUCAAUUCCUUAACAAAAUAUUGGAGAAAUUACUGAAAGAACGGAAGAAACGGGCGCUAUUGAAGCUUAAAUCGAAGUUAGAGAAGGAAAUUGUUCAGUGGGAACAUUUGUCGAACACGUUGCACUCAUUACAAAUUUCUUCUUCAACAACAACGAAAUCAGCAGCAGCAGAAAGAUCAAACUACAUCUCUUCCUUCCACUUCUUCUUCCUCCACUAAAUCAUCUCUACUCGACGAUCUUCUCUUCCAGUGGACACUGGUUGUUGGUUGCAAUUAAUCCUGUAAGAGAAGUUGUAUAUUAUCUGGAUUCGUUAGGCGGUGAUUGGAAAAAUAACCAAAUAUGAAGGAGAUGGUUGAUACGUAAAGUUAUACAAAUUUUUCGAUCACAAAGAGAUACUCGAGUACCAAAGAGUAAAGCAAACAACAUUACAUGGAUUAGAGUGCAGUGUCCUCAUCAGCGUAAUGAUAUAAAUUGCGGUUAUUUCAUGUUGAGGUUUAUGAAAGAAAUUAUUCUUUUGAAUCAAAUAGAGAUUCCAACCAUGUACUUCCAUGAAUUCAAGUCUUCUACUUACUCGAAAGAUUAAUUGGAUGAAAUUAAGGAGGAUUGGUGUCAAUACAUUAUUGAGAUGAAAAUUUCAUAAGGUAGGUGCAUAUGAAGAAGAUAGAGAUAACAAGUUCAUUGUUGUUGUUUUUUAGGAGCUCUAGAAGAUAGUAAUAUGUACAUUAGAAGAUAG